rnacentral:misc_RNA from 1 species
UGUGGGCGGGUUGCUCACAG